CUCUCUUACUCUCUCUCAUUUCCCCUCACAGGUUGUACGAAGGCAGAUGAGUAGCCACAGCUGUAACUGAGGCACACGGCAAUAAACACAGUGGAGCCGGUUUCUGCGAUGGCAAGAGAGGGAGCAUCAGAGUUGACAGCAACGACAAGGACCCAAGGACCGUCCUUCUGACAAGUUUCAGAUUUGCAGCCUCAUGGAGUGAGUGACGGAGUGGUUUGCCAACUUGUAGUGACUCCACUCAGCGGCGCAGAGUGGCUUCGAGAAAUGUGUAUUCAGAUAAGCCCAAAGAAAUCUGCCCAGGGUGAAAUAUGUACCUUUGAAGUUUAAAUCAGAAAGGAAGGAGAGGCUGUUUCUACAGGUGUCAGAGAAAAAUCGAUAUUGAGGCACGGAUUAUUGAAUCCCGUAGAACCAUGGAGGCUUGGCAGUGAAAUUCUUCCAAAGGCAGACGGUGUUCCUAGGUUUGGAAACAUAAAUCCCAGGGGACGUGAGCUGAAGAACAUUUUAUGCAUCACUCAUCCUAUUAUGAGCCCUAUGCUGCUCCAUCUCUACAAGAUUGGCUGAAGCAAUAGCAACCGCAAAAAUUGUUCAUAAUUUGCAUUCUAACUUUCCAUCAUUUGGUUAAUACCCUGACUCUGAUUACCCAAGAAAACAAUGUUCUAAAAGAAAGACUAUUAGAAAGUUGCCACUGCAUUAUUAGUGAAUAACAUGGAAAGUGCAACAUUCUAGAUGUCCCAUC